rnacentral:rRNA from 1 species
UACGUAGGGUGCGAGCGUUGUCCGGAAUUAUUGGGCGUAAAGAGCUCGUAGGCGGUGUGUCGCGUCGGUCGUGAAAACUUGGGGCUUAACCCUGAGCUUGCGGUCGAUACGGGCAUCGACUGGAGUUCGGCAGGGGAGACUGGAAUUCCUGGUGUAGCGGUGAAAUGCGCAGAUAAUCAGGAGGAACACCGGUGGCGAAGGCGGAUCC